UACGAAGGGGGCUAGCGUUGUUCGGAUUCAUUGGGCGUAAAGGGUGCGUAGGCGGCGCGGUAAGUCGGGUGUGAAAUCUUGGAGCUUAACUCCGAAACUGCAUUCGAUACUGCCGUGCUUGAGGACUGGAGAGGAGACUGGAAUUUACGGUGUAGCGGUGAAAUGCGUAGAUAUCGUAAGGAAGACCAGUGGCGAAGGCGGGUCUCUGGACAGUUCCUGACGCUGAGGCACGAAGGUCAGGGGGAGCAAACAGG
rnacentral:rRNA from 1 species